rnacentral:tRNA from 1 species
CGGGAGCGUCCGGCACGGUGACCGGGCCUGAUUUGGGAUCAGGAAAUGCGGGGUUCGACUCCCCGGUUCCCGAC